rnacentral:rRNA from 1 species
AUUGAACGCUGGCGGCAGGCCUAACACAUGCAAGUCGAGCGGAUGAAGGGAGCUUGCUCCUGGAUUCAGCGGCGGACGGGUGAGUAAUGCCUAGGAAUCUGCCUGGUAGUGGGGGAUAACGUCCGGAAACGGGCGCUAAUACCGCAUACGUCCUGAGGGAGAAAGUGGGGGAUCUUCGGACCUCACGCUAUCAGAUGAGCCUAGGUCGGAUUAGCUAGUUGGUGGGGUAAAGGCCUACCAAGGCGACGAUCCGUAACUGGUCUGAGAGGAUGAUCAGUCACACUGGAACUGAGACACGGUCCAGACUCCUACGGGAGGCAGCAGUGGGGAAUAUUGGACAAUGGGCGAAAGCCUGAUCCAGCCAUGCCGCGUGUGUGAAGAAGGUCUUCGGAUUGUAAAGCACUUUAAGUUGGGAGGAAGGGCAGUAAGUUAAUACCUUGCUGUUUUGACGUUACCAACAGAAUAAGCACCGGCUAAAUUCGUG